rnacentral:rRNA from 1 species
UAGGGAAUCUUCGUCAAUGGGGGCAACCCUGACCGAGCAACGCCGCGUGAGUGAAGAAGGUUUUCGGAUCGUAAAGCUCUGUUGUAAGAGAAGAACGUGUGUGAGAGUGGAAAGUUCACACAGUGACGGUAACUUACCAGAAAGGGACGGCUAACUACGUGCCAGCAGCCGCGGUAAUACGUAGGUCCCGAGCGUUGUCCGGAUUUAUUGGGGGUAAAGCGAGCGCAGGCGGUUUAAUAAGUCUGAAGUUAAAGGCAGUGGCUUAACCAUUGUUCGCUUUGGAAACUGUUAAGCUUGAGUGCAGAAGGGGAGAGUGGAAUUCCAUGUGUAGCGGUGAAAUGCGUAGAUAUAUGGAGGAACACCGGUGGCGAAAGCGGCUCUCUGGUCUGUAACUGACGCUGAGGCUCGAAAGCGUGGGGAGCAAACAGG